rnacentral:lncRNA from 1 species
UUUUUUUUGGAUAACUUAGCCUGCCAUUCAUCAAUCAAGAGUCAAGACUCAUAUGAUAGUUUCAGUUUACCAAAAUUAUAAUCCGUUGAAUCAAAAUUACUGACUCAAAAUACUUAUAUCAAGUUAUUAUUAUUACUAGAAUAGAAUCCUCUUUUAUAUUUAAUGAUAAUUUUAUUCUCAUCUGAUGUGAAAUUAUUCUUCGAAUGCUACGACUAUACAGUUGAUAGUACCAAACGCUUGGUUUUAUCGAAUUUUCUACGGUUAGAUCUAUCUUUCUGAUCAUUUUCACUUGUUAGGUCAUACCAUUCAACCAACUACCCACUCAAUUCUAGAAAAUACUAUUUUUCUAAUCGAGAAUUACUACUAUCCUAACCGCAUAUUCUUUUUUCUAACAACCGAACCCACCUAAUAGCGUCAAUGACUUGUUACUACUAAUAGUACAGUGACCUAGUUCUUAUUUUUAUAUAAAUGAUGCGUCAAUAUUUAGUCAGCUGAUUUAGAUUGUAACACUUAAUUACAAUACAUCUAAAAUCUUAAGUCAGAAAUUAUCAAAAAUUAAAAUUUGAGAACCAAACGUGUAAUUUAUCCUAAUCUAAUUUAGUUGAUUAAAUACUGAUAUAAUACUAACAUAAAAAUAAUAUAAUAACAAUCGAUAAUUAAUAAUGCGAUAAUAGUUAAAAUAUAAUAUCACUUUUUUAUGAGC